rnacentral:lncRNA from 1 species
CAGCGAGGAGGAUAACGAGCUGAACCUCCCUAACCUGGCAGCCGCCUACUCGUCCAUCCUGAGCUCGCUGGGCGAGAACCCCCAGCGGCAAGGGCUGCUCAAGACGCCCUGGAGGGCGGCCUCGGCCAUGCAGUUCUUCACCAAGGGCUACCAGGAGACCAUCUCAAUGUCCUAAACGAUGCUAUAUUUGAUGAAGAUCAUGAUGAGAUGGUGAUUGUGAAGGACAUAGACAUGUUUUCCAUGUGUGAGCAUCACUUGGUUCCAUUUGUUGGAAAGUCCAUAUUGGUUAUCUUCCUAACAAGCAAGUCCUUGGCCUCAGCAAACUUGCGAGAUUGUAGAAAUCUAUAGUAGAAGACUACAAUUCAGGAGCGCCUUACAAAACAAAUUGCUGUAGCAAUCACGGAAGCCUUGCGGCCUGCUGGAGUCGGGGUAGUGGUUGAAGCAAACACAUGUGUAUGGUAAUGCGAGGUGUACAGAAAAUGAACAGCAAAACUGUGACCAGCACAAUGUUGGGUGUGUUCCGGGAGGAUCCAAAGACUCGGGAAGAGU